rnacentral:rRNA from 1 species
GGACUACCGGGGUAUCUAAUCCUGUUUGCUCCCCACGCUUUCGCGCAUCAGCGUCAGUAACGGGCCAGUGAGUCGCCUUCGCCACUGGUGUUCUGCCGAAUAUCUACGAAUUUCACCUCUACACUCGGCGUUCCACUCACCUCUCCCGUACUCAAGACAGUCAGUAUCGAAGGCAGUUCCGAGGUUGAGCCUCGGGCUUUCACCCCCGACUAAACUGUCCGCCUACGCGCCCUUUACGCCCAGUAAUUCCGAGCAACGCUAGCCCCCUUCGUAUUACCGCGGCUGCUGGCAC